rnacentral:piRNA from 1 species
UCAAACAGAUACUUAUGAGAUGGGAA